rnacentral:rRNA from 1 species
UAAUCUGCCCUUCAGUGGGGAAUAACGUUCCGAAAGGAACGCUAAUGCCGCAUGUCACAACAAUGUCUCUGGACAAAGUUGGAAAAGGGGACGCCCGCAAGGGGUUCUCGCUGGAGGAUGAGUCCGCGGCCCAUCAGCUUGUUGGCGGGGUAAUGGCCCACCAAGGCGAAGACGGGUAGCUGGUCUGAGAGGAUGACCAGCCACACUGGGACUGAGACACGGCCCAG